rnacentral:rRNA from 1 species
CCUACGGGUGGCAGCAGUAGGGAAUAUUCCACAAUGGGCGAAAGCCUGAUGGAGCAACGCCGCGUGAGUGAAGAAGGUCUUCGGAUCGUAAACCCCUGUUAUUAGAGAAGAAAGUGCGUGAGAGUAACUAUUCACGAUUCGACGGUAUCUAACCAGAAAGCAACGGCUAACUACGUGCCAGCAGCCGCGGUAAUACGGAGGGGGCAAGCGUUAUCCGGAUUUAUUGGGCGUAAAGGGAACGCAGGCGGUCUGUUAAGUCUAAUGUGAAAGCCUUGGGCUUAACCGGAGUAGUGCAUUGGAAACUGGGAGACUGGAGUGCAGAAGAGGAUAGUGGAACUCCAUGUGUAGGGGUGAAAUGCGUAGAUAUAUGGAAGAACACCAGUGGCGAAAGCGGCUCUCUGGUAUGUAACUGACGCUGAGGUUCGAAAGCGUGGGUAGCAAACAGGAUUAGAUACCCGAGUAGUC